UACGUAGGUGGCAAGCGUUGUCCGGAUUUACUGGGUGUAAAGGGCGUGUAGGCGGGGACGCAAGUCAGAUGUGAAAACCACGGGCUCAACCUGUGGCCUGCAUUUGAAACUGUGUUUCUUGAGUACUGGAGAGGCAGACGGAAUUCCUAGUGUAGCGGUGAAAUGCGUAGAUAUUAGGAGGAACACCAGUGGCGAAGGCGGUCUGCUGGACAGCAACUGACGCUGAGGCGCGAAAGCGUGGGGAGCAAACAGG
rnacentral:rRNA from 1 species